rnacentral:rRNA from 1 species
GUGAACGCUAGCGGGAGGCCUAACACAUGCAAGCCGAGCGGGAUUUGUUGGUUAGCUUGCUAACUAACAAUGAGAGCGGCGUACGGGUGCGUAGCACGUGUGCAACCUGCCUUUAUCUGGGGGAUAGCCUUUCGAAAGGAAGAUUAAUACCCCAUAACAUAUUGAUUGGCAUCAGUUAAUAUUGAAAGCUCCGGCGGAUAGAGAUGGGCACGCGUAAGAUUAGCUAGUUGGUGAGGUAACGGCUCACCAAGGCUGCGAUCUUUAGGGGGCCUGAGAGGGUGAUCCCCCACACUGGUACUGAGACACGGACCAGACUCCUACGGGAGGCAGCAGUGAGGAAUAUUGGACAAUGGGUGAGAGCCUGAUCCAGCCAUCCCGCGUGAAGGACUAAGGACCUAUGGGUUGUAAACUUCUUUUAUACAGGGAUAAACCUACUCUCGUGAGGGUAGCUGAAGGUACUGUAUGAAUAAGCACCGGCUAACUCCGUG